CAGCAGCCGCGGUAAUACGUAGGUGGCAAGCGUUGUCCGGAAUUAUUGGGCGUAAAGGGCUCGCAGGCGGUUUCUUAAGUCUGAUGUGAAAGCCCCCGGCUCAACCGGGGAGGGUCAUUGGAAACUGGGAAACUUGAGUGCAGAAGAGGAGAGUGGAAUUCCACGUGUAGCGGUGAAAUGCGUAGAGAUGUGGAGGAACACCAGUGGCGAGGGCGACUCUCUGGUCUGUAACUGACGCUGAGGAGCGAAAGCGUGGGGAGCGAACAGGAUUAGAUACCCCGGUAGUCCCUGUCUCUUAUAC
rnacentral:rRNA from 1 species